rnacentral:misc_RNA from 1 species
AAACUCUCAAACCACGUUCGUUUCGACGUGGCUUUGGAAUGGUGGGGGUUUUUGCAGGCCCUGAAGGGUGUCUGCUCCCCUGAAAUGCAUUAGUGGUGUCUGGAGUGGAAAUCCCCGCUAGAUGGUGAUAAAAUAUCUGUCGUCUAUGCCCCUUCCGCAUGAAAACCAGAUCGUGCUGCUUCAAAUCAAAAACAGUUAGUUGUUGACAA